UGAAUUAUUCACCCGUGUCUUUUGCGUACUUCUUGUUUCCUGGGCGGGCUCGCCCGCCACCAGGACCCCCCAUAAACCUUUUGCAAUGGCAAUCAGCGUCAGUAAAACAUAAUCAUUACAACUUUCAACAACGGAUCUCUUGGUUCUGGCAUCGAUGAAGAACGCAGCGAAAUGCGAUAAGUAGUGUGAAUUGCAGAAUUCAGUGAAUCAUCGAAUCUUUGAACGCACAUUGCGCCCUUUGGUAUUCCAAAGGGCAUGCCUGUUCGAGCGUCAUUUGUACCCUCAAGCUUUGCUUGGUGUUGGGCGUCUUUGUCUCCGGCUUGCCUGGAGACUCGCCUUAAAGUGAUUGGCAGCCGGCCUACUGGUUUCGGAGCGCAGCACAAGUCGCGCUCUCUUCCAGCCAAGGUCAGCGUCCACCAAGCCACCUUUUUUACCUUUGACCUCGGAUCAGGUAGGGAUACCCGCUGAACUUAAGCAUAUC
rnacentral:rRNA from 1 species